CCCCUCUCAGGAUGGCACCUAGAGAGUUUCUAGUACUCUACCAGCCCCAGCUAUGGGAUGGAGAGUCAAGCAGAGGCCUACUCAUUCCAUUUCUAGCUUGGGCCCUGGCUGGCGAGUGGAAGAGAAUCUGCUCCAAGU